AUGGCGAACCUUGGAUGGUUAGCCUCCCUCGCCGCCGCCGUCGUCGUGGUGGCGCUCCGCUCGCCGUUCGCCACCGCGCAGCUGAGGCCGGGGUACUACGCCAGCAUCUGCCCCAACCUGGAGACCAUUGUCCGGAACUCCGUCAGGCAGUCCAUGGCCCAGUCCCAAAUCUCCGCGGGGGCCACGCUCAGGCUCUUCUUCCAUGACUGCGCCGUCAGGGGCUGCGAUGCGUCGGUCAUGAUCGUGAACUCGAACGGCGACGACGAGUGGGGGAGCCCGGACGACCAGUCCCUGAAGCCGCAGGGCUUCCAGACGGUCCUGGACGCCAAGGCCGCCGUCGACAAGGACCCGCAGUGCCGUUACAAGGUGUCCUGCGCCGACAUACUCGCCCUCGCCGCACGAGAAUCCGUCGUCCAGAGCGGAGGGCCGUACUACCAGGUGGAGCUGGGCAGGUACGACGGGAAGGUCUCGACGAAGAGCAGCGUGGUGCUGCCGCACGUCGACUUCAACCUCGACAAACUCAACGGCUUCUUCUCAGGCUUGGGCCUCUCCCAGACCGACAUGAUCGCACUCUCAGGUGGCCACACCAUGGGCGCGGCAGACUGCAGCUUCUUCCAGUCUAGGAUCGGCACCGACCCGACCAUGGACUCGGGCUUCGCGGCGCAGCUCCGGGGCACCUGCACCAGCAGCCAGAGCUCCGCCUUCCUCGACCCGACGCCGCUGGGAUUCGACAACUCCUACUACAAAAACCUGCAGGGCGGCAGGGGCCUCCUGGGCUCCGACCAGGUGCUGUACACGGACCCGAGGUCACGGGGCACCGUCAACUACUACGCGUCCAACCAAGGCACCUUCUUCUACGACUUCACCGUCGCCAUGACCAAGCUCGGCAGGGUAGGGGUCAAGACGGCGGCCGACGGCGAGAUACGCCGCGACUGCCGGUACACGAAUUAG
rnacentral:rRNA from 1 species